AGCAGGAAUUAGUGGCACAAGAUUGUCUAAUUCAGUGUUGGGGGCCAUUUCGACACCUUCGCAGAGUGCUCUGAGAGCAACAUGGCCAUCCAAUUCAACCCUCAAAAAGUGAAGAUGAGGCAAUCCAACUGAGUUUUGUGGAAGCUCAGAUAUCCUAGAUGAGCCAUAUGGACCUCCAUAUUCCAAGAUAAUGUCAAAUUUGUUGAAUGGAAAUAACGAAGAAACAUGCCUUCAAUCAAAUACAGUUAACUUAGUUUCAUGACAGAACAAGUAUGGCCAAAAAAUGGCACCAAAAGAAUUAUGGUUCGCAUUGAUGCUCACCAAUGUAAGAUUUGAUUGACUUAACUGAGGAAAUUGAAAGGAAAUCAGUUUCAUUUUAAAAAUGUCAGUAGUGCCCUCAUGUGCUAUGUGCUCACCAUUUUGGAUUAUUGCUGCUCCAAACCCAAUUUACAAAAAGAAAAUCCAUGCAUCUAGAAUCGGCAAAUUGAAAACAUGCUAAACAUAUCUUGUACAAAGCGUACAAUUCUAUGUAUGCAAGAUAAAAAACAUAACCCGAAACAAAAGCUUACUUGUGUGAAACCAACAAGCAGUCUGAAAUCAGAAGUUCUUUCAUUUUAGAAUCAGUUUCCUCAGGCACGGUAUUGGCAUAUGGCUGAUUUCUAUAAGAAUCAUUUAGCUCACUGAAUGAUAACCCCAGGGAAAGGAGGAGAUUUUUCAACGAACACCAGAAUAAUUCUUCAACCACAAUCAAAGUUUUCAAACUACUCCGGUUGAUGUAUGACUGUAAAAUUUCCUUGACAAUUGUUAAUGACGGAUGUGCCAUUGUAA